rnacentral:rRNA from 1 species
ACGUACACUCCUGCGGGAGGCAGCAGUGGGGAAUAUUGCACAAUGGGCGGAAGCCUGAUGCAGCAACGCCGCGUGCGGGAUGACGGCCUUCGGGUUGUAAACCGCUUUCGCCUGUGACGAAGCGUGAGUGACGGUAAUGGGUAAAGAAGCACCGGCUAACUACGUGCCAGCAGCCGCGGUGAUACGUAGGGUGCGAGCGUUGUCCGGAUUUAUUGGGCGUAAAGGGCUCGUAGGUGGUUGAUCGCGUCGGAAGUGUAAUCUUGGGGCUUAACCCUGAGCGUGCUUUGGAUACGGGUUGACUUGAGGAAGGUAGGGGAGAAUGGAAUUCCUGGUGGAGCGGUGGAAUGCGCAGAUAUCAGGAGGAACACCAGUGGCGAAGGCGGUUCUCUGGGCCUUUCCUGACGCUGAGGAGCGAAAGCGUGGGGAGCGAACAGGCUUAGAAACCCUAGUAGUCCCAUG